AGUGAACGCUGGCGGUAGGCCUAACACAUGCAAGUCGAACGGCAGCACAGUAAGAGCUUGCUCUUACGGGUGGCGAGUGGCGGACGGGUGAGGAAUACAUCGGAAUCUACUUUUUCGUGGGGGAUAACGUAGGGAAACUUACGCUAAUACCGCAUACGACCUACGGGUGAAAGCAGGGGAUCUUCGGACCUUGCGCGAUUGAAUGCGCCGAUGUCGGGUUAGCUAGUUGGCGGGGUAAAGGCCCACCAAGGCGACGAUCCGUAGCUGGUCUGAGAGGAUGGUCAGCCGCACUGGAACUGAGACACGGUCCAGGCUCCUGCGGGAGGCAGCAGUGGGGAAUAGUGGACAAUGGGCGCAAGCCUGAUCCAGCCAGACCGCGUGGGUGAAGAAGGCCUUCGGGUUGUAAAGCCCUUUUGUUGGGAAAGAAAAGCAGCAGGUUAAUACCCCGCUGUUCUGACGGUACCCAAAGAAUAAGCACCGGCUAACUUCGUG
rnacentral:rRNA from 1 species